rnacentral:rRNA from 1 species
CAGUCGAACGGGAGACCUUCGGGUCUCUAGUGGCGAACGGGUGAGUAACACCUAUGAAACCUGCCCGCGCACCGGGAAUACGCUCUGGAAACGCAGAACAAAUCCCGAUGUACAGGAAGGAGGCAUCUUCUUUCUGUGAAACAUCCUUUAGGGGAUGGGGCGCGGAUGGACCUGCGGUGCAUUAGUUGGUUGGCGGGGUAAAGGCCCACCAAGACGAUGAUGCAUAGCCGGCCUGAGAGGGCGGACGGCCACAUUGGGACUGAGACACGGCCCAGACUCCUGCGGGAGGCAGCAGUAGGGAAUUUUCGUCAAUGGGCGCAAGCCUGAACGAGCGAUGCCGCGUGAGUGAAGAAGGCCUUCGGGUCGUAAAGCUCUGUUGCGGGGGAAAAAAGGCAGCAUCAGGAAAUGGGUGCUGACUGAUGGUGCCCCGCCAGAAAGUCACGGCUAACUACGUGCCAGCAGCCGCGGUAAUACGUAGGUGGCGAGCGUUAUCCGGAAUGAUUGGGCGUAAAGGGUGCGCAGGCGGUCCUGCAAGUCUGGAGUGAAACGCAUGAGCUCAACUCAUGCAUGGCUUUGGAAACUGGAGGACUGGAGAGCAGGAGAGGGCGGUGGAACUCCAUG